rnacentral:rRNA from 1 species
AUUGAACGCUGGCGGCAGGCUUAACACAUGCAAGUCGAACGAGCGGCGGACGGGUGAGUAAUGUAUGGGGAUCUGCCCGAUAGAGGGGGAUAACUACGGGAAAGGGUGGCUAAUACCGCAUACUAUCGGAUGAACCCAUAUGGGAUUAGCUAGUAGGUGGGGUAAAGGCUCACCUAGGCGACGAUCUCUAGCUGGUCUGAGAGGAUGAUCAGCCACACUGGAACUGAGACACGGUCCAGACUCCUCCGGGAGGCAGCAGUGGGGAAUAUUGCACAAUGGGCGCAAGCCUGAUGCAGCCAUGCCGCGUGUGUGAAGAAGGCCUUCGGGUUGUAAAGCACUUUCAGCGAGGAGGCGUUACUCGCAGAAGAAGCACCGGCUAACUCCGUGCCAGCAGCCGCGGUAAUUC